rnacentral:rRNA from 1 species
UACGAAGGGGGCUAGCGUUGCUCGGAAUUACUGGGCGUAAAGGGCGCGUAGGCGGAUACUUAAGUCGGGGGUGAAAGCCCGGGGCUCAACCUCGGAAUUGCCUUCGAUACUGGGUAUCUUGAGUUCGGGAGAGGUGAGUGGAAUGCCGAGUGUAGAGGUGAAAUUCGUAGAUAUUCGGCGGAACACCAGUGGCGAAGGCGACUCACUGGCCCGAUACUGACGCUGAUGCGCGAAAGCGUGGGGAGCAAACAGGAU